rnacentral:rRNA from 1 species
CAUGGCUCAGGAUGAACGCUGGCGGCGUGCCUAAUACAUGCAAGUCGAGCGAGAUGUUAGCGCAUGAACCUUCGGGGGAUUAUGCUAACGGACAGCGGCGGACGGGUGAGUAACGCGUAGGCAACCUGCCCCUGACAGAGGGAUAGCCAUUGGAAACGAUGAUUAAAACCUCAUGACACCGUAGAAGCACAUGCUUCAUCGGUCAAAGAUUUAUCGGUCAGGGAUGGGCCUGCGUCUGAUUAACUAGUUGGUGAGGUAACGGCUCACCAAGGUGACGAUCAGUAGCCGACCUGAGAGGGUGAUCGGCCACAUUGGAACUGAGACACGGUCCAAACUUCUACGG